rnacentral:rRNA from 1 species
GAUGAACGCUGGCGGCGUGCCUAAUACAUGCAAGUCGAGCGAACGGACGAGAAGCUUGUUCCUCUGAUGUUAGCGGCGGACGGGUGAGUAACACGUGGAUAACCUACCUAUAAGACUGGGAUAACUUCGGGAAACCGGUGCUAAUACCGCAUAAUAUUUUGAACCGCAUGGUUCAAAAGUGAAAGACGCUAUUGCUGUCACUAAUAGAUGGAUCCGCGCUGCAUUAGUUAGUUGGGAAGGUAACGGCUUACCAAGGCAACGAUGCAUAGCCGACCUGAGAGGGUGAUCGGCCACACUGGAACUGAGACACGGUCCAGACUCCUACGGGAGGCAGCAGUAGGGAAUCUUCGGCAAUGGGCGAAAGCCUGACGGAGCAACGCCGCGUGGGUGAUGAAGGUCUUCGGAUCGUAAAACUCUGUUAUUGGGGAAGAACAUAUGUGUAAGUAACUGUGCACAUCUUGACGGUACCUAAUCAGAAAGCCACGGCUAACUACGUG